CAGACGAAAACCAAAAUAUAUAUAUAAAUGCCCCUAGAGAAAGAAAAAAAAUUAGCAAAUUUUCCCCUUUUCAGUUGUGAGCGGUGGAGAAUUGUUGGACGUGGAAGACGAUACGUUCGAUGGCGGAACAGUAGAGGUGCCUAAUAAUAGGGAAAUUGGAAGAGCAAAAAUCUCAAACACGAGCAAAAUUAUAGCCUAAUUUCUAUGGCCAUGUCAAUAUCUCUACGAAUUUGUUGCAGACCUUCAAUUUCUGGCUUAAAGAAUAAAAGAGAUUUGUUGGGCUUAGAAUUGGCAGCUUAUCAAUCAAGUAAUCCGAUGGGGAAAUGGUUUAGUGGAGUGAAGAAGUUUAUUCCCUUUGAGGGAUAUGUUAAGUCUGUGAAAACAGCUGCACGAAUAUCAUUUCCAACAAUCUCAUCAGACUGUAAAGAUAAAGAGCCUUCAAAUUUUUUGAGUCACAAGAAGAUGGUUCCUUAUUCGGAACCCCCUAGCAGGGAAGAUGUGGACAGUUUGUAUGAAUUUUUUGAUAGGAGCACCAAGCUUGUUGUAUUGACGGGAGCUGGCAUGAGCACAGAGAGUGGAAUUCCGGAUUACAGGAGCCCAAAUGGAGCUUAUAGUACGGGUUUCAAACCAAUUACCCAUCAGGAGUUUCUCCGAUCAAUCAAGGCUCGAAGGCGUUAUUGGGCACGGAGCUAUGCUGGCUGGAGACGUUUCACUGCUGCUCAACCUAGUACAGGUCAUAUAGAUCUAUCAUCUCUUGAGAAAGCAGGCCAUAUAAGUUUUAUGAUUACACAGAAUGUGGACAGGCUGCAUCACCGGGCUGGCAGCAAUCCACUUGAAUUGCAUGGGACUGUCUACAUUGUUGCCUGUACAAAUUGUGGUUUUUCUCUACCUCGAGAUCUAUUUCAAGAUCAAGUGAAGGCUCAUAAUCCCAAGUGGGCAGCAGCUAUUGAAAGCUUGGACUAUGACAGUCAAUCAGACAAGAGCUUUGGAAUGAAGCAAAGGCCUGAUGGGGAUAUUGAGAUCGAUGAGAAAUUCUGGGAGGAGGAUUUCUACAUUCCUGAUUGUCAGAGGUGCCAAGGAGUUCUGAAACCUGAUGUUGUCUUCUUUGGAGAUAAUGUCCCCAAAGCUAGGGCAGAUGCUGCCAUGGAAGCUGCAAAGGAAUGUGAUGCCUUCCUUGUACUUGGUUCAUCUUUGAUGACCAUGUCCGCUUUCCGGCUUAUCAAAGCUGCUCGUGAGGCAGGUGCUGCUACUGCAAUUGUAAAUAUUGGUGCUACACGAGCUGACGAUAUUGUACCUUUGAAAAUUAGUGCUCGAGUUGGAGAGAUACUUCCAAGAUUGCUCAAUGUUGGAUCAUUAAGUAUUCCUGCUCCUUAGUUCCUGAUUCAGGAAAGUGUUAAUUAAUAGCACCCAGAUUCUUUUUCAUCAGUUGCUGCAAUGGAUUGUACACUUGACCGGAACGUGCAAGUUUGCUGCAUUUCACGUGUGGUUGUGAGCCCGGACUUGCUUGAUCUCCUAGUGUUUCCACCACAUUCGAAGCUAUUAUUUAGAGUGUUGAGGUAGCUGUUACAUCCAUCUAGCGGACACCUCUUACUCUUUUAAUAUGUUUUAGUCCUAUUCUAGAGAUAAAGACAUUGUGACUGUAUUUUCUUUCGUACUUCGAUAAUGUAUUAGUGGCUUAUAUACGUGACAAC